AACGAACGCUGGCGGCAGGCCUAACACAUGCAAGUCGAGCGGACCCUUCGGGGUUAGCGGCGGACGGGUGAGUAACGCGUGGGAAUAUGCCCUUCUCUACGGAAUAGUCCUGGGAAACUGGGGGUAAUACCGUAUACGCCCUUUGGGGGAAAGAUUUAUCGGGGAAGGAUUAGCCCGCGUUGGAUUAGGUAGUUGGUGGGGUAAUGGCCUACCAAGCCGACGAUCCAUAGCUGGUUUGAGAGGAUGAUCAGCCACACUGGGACUGAGACACGGCCCAGACUCCUACGGGAGGCAGCAGUGGGGAAUCUUAGACAAUGGGGGCAACCCUGAUCUAGCAAUGCCGCGUGAGUGAUGAAGGCCUUAGGGUUGUAAAGCUCUUUCAGCUGGGAAGAUAAUGACGGUACCAGCAGAAGAAGCCCCGGCUAACUCCGUG
rnacentral:rRNA from 1 species